UACAGAGGUGGCAAGUGUUGUUCGGAAUUACUGGGCGUAAAGGGCGCGUAGGUGGCCUUCUAAGUUGAACGUGAAAUCCCUGGGCUCAACCCAGGAACUGCGUCCAAGACUGGGAGGCUUGAAUCCGGGAGAGGGAUGCGGAAUUCCAGGUGUAGCGGUGAAAUGCGUAGAUAUCUGGAGGAACACCGGUGGCGAAGGCGGCAUCCUGGACCGGUAUUGACACUGAGGCGCGAAAGCCAGGGGAGCAAACGGG
rnacentral:rRNA from 1 species